UACGUAGGGGGCAAGCGUUGUCCGGAAUCAUUGGGCGUAAAGAGCGUGUAGGCGGUUCGAUAAGUCUGCUGUGAAAGUCCAGGGCUCAACCCUGGGAUGCCGGUGGAUACUGUCGGGCUAGAGUUCGGAAGAGGUGAGUGGAAUUCCUGGUGUAGCGGUGAAAUGCGCAGAUAUCAGGAGGAACACCAAUGGCGAAGGCAGCUCACUGGGACGAUACUGACGCUGAGACGCGAAAGCGUGGGGAGCAAACAGG
rnacentral:rRNA from 1 species